CUGUGGAUUCGGGGUAGAAGUUGCAUACAGAGUUGAGGAACUCUUAAAAACCUCACCUUAUAAAUGCCAACAACGAAAUGGCUCUCGCAGCUUAAUUAAUGCUGCUUGCGCUCCCAUCGGUCACUCCUCCAGGGCCGAUGACGAGUGUCACCUUUUUGGAGGAUGAACCGGGAUGGAUUCAUCUGCUUUCCGGUAAACUUUUACAGAUGAAAAAGUGUUAGCUGCCCGGUCAGCGGGGGACGCUUCCACUCAUUAAACGCUGACUAAGUAUGUAGAGGCUUUUAUUUCGCACCGUAGGACGCGGGUUCAACUCCCGCCGUCUCCAAAA
rnacentral:tmRNA from 1 species